rnacentral:rRNA from 1 species
UACGGAGGGUGCAAGCGUUAUCCGGAAUCAUUGGGUUUAAAGGGUCCGCAGGCGGCCUUAUAAGUCAGUGGUGAAAUCCCGUGGCUCAACCACGGAACUGCCAUUGAUACUGCAGGUCUUGAGUACAGUUGAGGCAGGCGGAAUGUGUCAUGUAGCGGUGAAAUGCUUAGAUAUGACCCAGAACACCGAUUGCGUAGGCAGCUUGCUAAACUGUCACUGACGCUGAUGCACGAAAGCGUGGGUAGCGAACAGG